UCACUGUGUUAGAGGUGUUUUAGUCCUUACUUUCACAUUCUCAGAGCGCUGACUGAACACAGAGAAGAAGGGAAGAGGAAAAGAUUCUGAAUAAUGGGGGCCUGGGUGUCUAUAAGGAACCAAACCCCUUACACUUGGCACUACGAACUUGUCGGAGWCGGAGGUGGCAGUGGCACGUUGAAUAGCUGGGGUAGUGUACAAAGASAACUCAACAWWAGYUGG